rnacentral:rRNA from 1 species
CGAACGGGUGAGUAACGCGUGGGGAAUCUGCCUUUGAGCGGGGGACAACAUUUGGAAACGAAUGCUAAUACCGCAUAAAAACUUUAAAACACAAGUUUUAAGUUUGAAAGAUGCAAUUGCAUCACUCAAAGAUGAUCCCGCGUUGUAUUAGCUAGUUGGUGAGGUAAAGGCUCACCAAGGCGAUGAUACAUAGCCGACCUGAGAGGGUGAUCGGCCACAUUGGGACUGAGACACGGCCCAAACUCCUACGGGAGGCAGCAUG